UACAGAGGGUGCAAGCGUUAAUCGGAAUUACUGGGCGUAAAGCGUGCGCAGACGGUUGCGUAAGUCUGAUGUGAAAUCCCCGGGCUCAACCUGGGAAUGGCAUUGGAUACUGGCUCGCUAGAGUGCGGUAGAGGGUGGUGGAAUUCCCGGUGUAGCAGUGAAAUGCGUAGAGAUCGGGAGGAACAUCUGUGGCGAAGGCGGCCACCUGGACCAACACUGACACUGAGGCGCGAAAGCUAGGGGAGCAAACAGG
rnacentral:rRNA from 1 species